rnacentral:rRNA from 1 species
UACGAGGGGGGCAAGCGUUGUUCGGAUUUACUGGGCGUAAAGGGCGCGUAGGCGGCGUGGUAAGUCACUUGUGAAAUCUCUGAGCUUAACUCAGAACGGUCAAGUGAUACUGCUGUGCUAGAGUGCGGAAGGGGCAAUCGGAAUUCUUGGUGUAGCGGUGAAAUGCGUAGAUAUCAAGAGGAACACCUGAGGUGAAGACGGGUUGCUGGGCCGACACUGACGCUGAUGCGCGAAAGCCAGGGGAGCAAACGGG